AAGCACAGAAACCAUUCGGCAACUCUGCGAGAGAGAAACCGCUAACCACCAUGGACGGUCUCUCUGCUUAUCCUUCUUCAUCUCCCUAUCCGACAGCCUUUUCGCUAUAUGUAUACAGCAGUGCAGACAUACGUAUAUGUACUGUAUUCGUCGAGAAGCUCUGCAUGUAUACCCAUCUUCUUCGAUUUUCUCGAGAAACUCCGACGAAGCCAACUUGAUCGAGAAGCUCUACGACUUGGGCGAGCGCCUGAAUGAGUCCAAGGGCAAGUCUCAGAAUGUGGAAGAUUAAGAAGGGAUCAUCGACCUGUCGAAGACGAGGAUCAAGGCCAAAUAGCUCGGAGCACGGCUAAUUCCUCGACCAAUGCCUUCGAUGCCCGUGUGGAUUACCUAUAGGAAGACGAUCUCAGGGUCUGUACUUAAUCAAUCUUCUUCUGUAUGCGACUGAAUCAGAAGCUGUUUAGGAACACCACCAUCAUACUCUCAUUUACGAUCUUUUGGUUGUCUUUGUUAUGUGUCCACCAACACAAAGAACCGUCACAAGUUUUCCCCGAGGGCUUCUCCUUCUGUGUAUUUCUUGGUUAUCCUUAUGGAAUCAAAGGUUACAAGACAUUAAAACCUUGCACCCAAUGUUGUAACAGUUUCUCGUAAUGUAAUUUUCGAUGAAUCUGUUUUUCCAUUUAAGAUAA